rnacentral:rRNA from 1 species
AUUGAACGCUGGCGGCAUGCCUAACACAUGCAAGUCGAACGAGUGGCGGACGGGUGAGUAAUGUCUGGGAAACUGCCUGAUGGAGGGGGAUAACUACUGGAAACGGUAGCUAAUACCGCAUACCAUCGGAGGUGCCCAGAUGGGAUAAGCUAGUGGGUGGGGUAAAGGCUCACCUAGGCGACGAUCCCUAGCUGGUCUGAGAGGAUGACCAGCCACAGUGGGAAUGAGACACGGUCCAGACUCCUACGGGAGGCAGCAGUGGGGAAUAUUGCACAAUUGGCGCAAGCCUGAUGCAGCCAUGCCGCGUGUAUGAAGAAGGCCUUCGGGUUGUAAAGUACUUUCAGCGGGGAGGCGUUACCCGCAGAAGAAGCACCGGCUAACUCCGUGCCAGCAGCCGCGGUAAUUC